rnacentral:lncRNA from 1 species
GACUCAUUUAGCAUGGGAGUGACAGCUCUAAGCAUAGGACAGGCUGUUAGGCUCAGGAGGGUCAGUCAGUCUUCUCCGGCUCUACUGAGAAGCAAACAUAGAAAUGUGAGCUUAACUUACUGUAGAUCUGAUAGGGGGAGUUAAGACAUCUUGCAAUCUUUCUGGAAAUCUCCUAUCUGGAAAGCUUAUAAUGUGAUUCCACAGGAAGGCGGAGCCGUGGUCCUUCCUCUUCUUCAGCAGCUGGGUCAUAAAUGCUGCUCGGAAUAUUUUCACUCUUCCUCCUACCAUCUGUCUUUCUGGAAAGGAGAGUAGUGACAGCCAUGCAGUCAGCAGACUAUAAAUAUUGCACUUAACCCUCUGCAAAACUAGUUUUGAGAAGCUUUACAGAUAACAUGGCUUCGUCAGCUUCCCUGGAGAGUUCUUGGCCUUAGUGCCGUCAUCUUAGUCCAGGCUUUUGGUUGCGCACACCAGAAACCCCACUUGAAAGAGUUUAGGCAAAAUGCAUGGAAUUCAAGGAAAGGUCGAGUAUCCAGAUGAAGCAAAGCUCAGAGAUGCAAGAAGCCAGGCUCAGGAACCACAGAACCCAGAGACUUCGGGACAAGCCUUUUUCUCGGCCUCUUGUCUCGGAUUCUCACUCAAGGUGGCUUCCCUCCCCUCUCCAUGGCCAUACGUCCACCUGACAGUCUCCUUCACCAGAGAUGACUUUUCCUGAUGAUCUCUUCUGGUCCCAGUAAGAAAAAUCCCAUGGGAGGGCUGGUGUGCGUGAACAAUGACGACCAGGGUGGUUCUAAGAACGUGACAAUUCCAAUAUGAACACAUUGUUUGUCUGGGAGGAAAAGCAGGUCCCAGAAGACUGGGAGGUAUUUUAUGAGACAAGGAUAUCCUCUACCCCCUCCUUAGAGAUAAUGAGUCUGAGAAGAAAACGAGAUGCGGAGGGAAAACCCCUGAGAUGUCCAAAUACAAACCUGGGGAGCGGGAUGUGCCCGGGGAAGGAUAUCCUUUUUCCACAGUGACUGCCCAUCCAGUGGGAAAUGCGCUGUAGGGCAUCUUCUUUGCCUGGGCCCCCAAAGAGGCACACCUGGGUGUGUUAGGACUCGAGACGGGUUUUGAGAGCCUUCAGCUCCCCCCAUCCCCACUUCCAAACCCGCUCUUCAGAGAACGAAACUAACAAUCCUGUAAUUUUAUCUGUAUUUAUAAAUCCCUGAUCCUUUAUGCAGUCUUUUUUCCACUCUGCGCUGAGUCUAAAUGUUGCUAUUUUCACAGAGGAAAUCAGAGGAAAGCGGCUAUAAUUAUAGGUCAAACACCAGCUCCGGAAGCAGCGAAGGCAGCAGGGAGCCGAGGGCCCCGGGCCCUCUUCCGGGUUGCACGCUGGCCCUCUCCCCCUCUUUCCUUGGGCCUAGGUCAGCUCUUCAUAUCCUUAUCUCAUAUCUUUUCUCCCUUUUGUUUGCCAGCCCAGCAUCUCACGAAACAAAAAGGGAAAGUUAGAGCUACGCGCCAACCACUUAAAACUGUGUGAUGCCUGGGCAGGCCUGUCCCUUGGAGAUAAUUCAAAUGGAAAAGAAAAGAGAAAAAACAAACCAGCAUUUCAGGUCAUUGGCCUUUUUAAACAGACCGCCGGCAAUAUUUACUCCUCCUGAAAUAACAGAGUCACAUGAAAUAAAACUGUGUUCGGUAAAGCCUGCAAAACAAAAGGACAAUUUACAGGCUGGCACACUCACUGAGGGCCCUCUGUCUGCUGGCCGGAUCAGGGCCUCUGCUUCCUGGUCUCCUGGCUGCUUUCUGCCCAAGGCCUGCGGGAGAUCUGCGGGGGUCAAGGUCAGACGUCCCCGGAGACCCUGCUGGACUUGUUUUCCCCCUCAGAGAAUUUGGGAAGAUGGCCAGAGGAUUGAGAGCAGGGCUGCUUGUGGCAAAGGUGGCCUGCACCACAGAACCGUAGCUGGGAAGCCCAGGAUGUGGACAUUCCAGGAGCAGCUGCCAAGGGCACCCAUCACCCUCCCACCCAGUCAGCUCUGUUUCCUCUCUGUUGUCCUUUACCCCUGCUUCUUUAUCUGUCGCCUGUCACCUGCCCUUGCUCAUCCACUGGGCUCCAUUUUCCCCUCACUCUUGCUUAGAGACCCUGCUUUCUUUCUCUCCCUACCUCUUCGUUCUUCUGGGGCCCCUUGUGGAGCUUUAUCAUCAGUCCUGCUGUGGCCUGGGAGGGCCAAACAGAAUUCUAGUUAUCAGGUUAAUGAAUGUGUGGUCACGGGCUGGGCCUGGGGUCAUGAUGAGACUCAGACCCCACCGAGGGCUCCAGGGAACCUCAGCCCCAUUCUUUGAAACUUUUCCCCUUCGUUGCCCAAGAUUCCUUUUUUUAAAAAGCCAAAAGUUUUUUUUUUUUUUUAAAUCAUGAUAUUUGUGAGCAUGUUAUAUUUCUCAGUGCCUUUCAUAUCCAUUGAUUUAAUCUUUUUUUCUGGUGUCGUCUUUUUAGGGCCACACCCGCAGCAUAUGGAGGUUCCCAGGCUAGGGGUCCAAUUGGACCUGUAGCCUCCAGCCUACACCACAGCUACAGCAACGCCAGAUCCAAGCUGUGUCUGCGACCUACACCACAGCUCACGGCAACGCCAAAUCCUUAACCCAUUGAGUAAGGCCGGGGAUCAAACCUGCGUCCUGUGGAUGCUAGUCAGAUUCAUUUCCACUGAGCCACGAUGGGAACUCCUGAUUUAAUCUUUGUACCUUGGGACAUGGGAAAGCAGUUGAAGAAAUGGAAGAAGAAAGAUGUUUGGCAACAUGCACAAGGCAGGUAGACACCUCGGUUCCCUGCUCCCUGGGCUUCUAUGCUCCAAAAACAAGAAAAUGAGACCCACAGCAGAUGCCAGAGAGGGGCUCUUCCAGAAUUCAGGGUGAGACAUACAACAUGAGCACGAAUCUCUGGCUUAUCAAAGUCGGACACUUUGUUCAGCAUGGACUUGGUCGCCUGGAACUUCAUGCCAUCAAUUUCCCUGUGGGUCUAAGUGUCCUUCCUUGCCAUCAACAGCCCAGCAGGAACUGCUCUCAUUUUCUUUUGCACGCACCCAAGUAUGGAUAGGAAGUGGGAAAGAGGCAGCCAGAGGUGUGCAUCACAUUCUCCAUUUUUUACAAGUGUUUCGUGGUUGUAAAGACAAUUACGUUCAGGACUCCAAUGAGGUCUGUCUAUCAACCGGUUGAUCAACUGACCUGCCAUCUCUUUAUCAACAGAUAUGGGUCUCAGCACCAUGCUAGGUUCUGCUGUGUCUGUGGGAAAAGCAGACCUCCAGAAAGGGAGGGUAGCAGAACCUAUGUGCUUUCCCUUCCAACAGCCAGCACCUGCAUCUCUAUCUCAACAGACUGCUCUCAGGCUGUGGGAUGACCUUUGCUGGGUCUCUGCCAGCAGAAUGGCCUGGACCAUAUACACCCAGGGAGCAGCCUUCAACCAAUGAAUGACAGGGGCAGGGUCCGAACUCUGCUCUGAGGUCUAAUGUCCACUGUUGCCCCCCUGUGGGGCAGAGCUCAAGUUCCCCUCUGUGGGUCCUCACUCGGUAUCACUCCCUUCAUGGCCUCGAUGUUUCCCUCACUGCUACUGGUUUUUUCCUGGAAACACAUCUUAAAAAUGGCUGGCACACCAAUUCUCGCCUUAGGAUGUGCUUGUUUUAUCUUAAGCUUCUUCCCACGCUGGGCUCCAGGGUCAGAGUGGAUGAGGGCGGGUGGAGGGGCCAGAAGACCAGGUCCUCCUUCAGGUACCAGAGAGGGACAUCAUUCCAGCUGAAAGUCCCAGGGGACAAGGACAGCAUGCAGGUGAGGAGCGAGACCAUGGCCCAAGUCUGCACAGGAUCUGGCUCCCGCUCAGAGAGGGAGGACUGAUGGGUCUACCUGGCAUUUGACACCUUAGGGGUUUCCAAUUCAAAGGAAGGUGGAGCCAAGGCAGGAGAACAGCUUAUCCUCGCAGGGGGACAGAGGUAACAGCUGCGAGGCACUUGUCUGCGGUGGCUUCUGGGGAGCAGGCGUCCAUGGGCACAUGGCAGCCACCAUCCAGGAUGGCCAGAAAAAAAGCCAAGAAAGGGAACCAAGCCCUGCUGCUGCUACAACACGGAUGGACUGUGAUGAGGAGGAACAUGCUGAUUGAAAGAGGCCAGACACAAAAGGCCAUGGGUUACGUGAGCUGCCCUGGCGUGAAGUAUCCAGAACAGGCAAAUGCACAGAGACAGAAGGCAGAUUAGUGAUUGACAGAAGCUGGGGGGCAAAGAGAAUGAAGAGUGACUACUUAGUGGGUAUCGCAGGGCUUCUCUUUCAGUGAUGAUGAUGUUCUGGAAUGAGGGAGCAGGGAUGGUUGCGAGACCUUGUGAAUAAACUAAAAACCGUGGAAUUGCGCCCUUCAAAAUGGUGCAAUUUGUGGUAUGUAAAUUCUCUCUCAACUUUUUAAAAAGGAAGGCAAGAAUUGGGAAAAUUUAAGGUGAUAGAAGGAUGACCCAAGGUCUGAAUCCACCAGAGCUACAAGCGAAUAAAAUCUGGUUAUUUAUGUUGACAUCGUCAUCUGGUACCCGGAUUAUUCCCCGUUAGGCUGGCAAUUGGGACCAUUAGCGAUACGUGAGGGUCGAAGGCAAUCCGCCCUUGCAGACUGUCCAGGGUACAACCUCUGUGUUGUACGGGGUGGCCCCGCUCAGGUCCACACUUCUGUGAACUUCUUCGGCCCUUGGGAUUCCCGCUGCCUGAGAUAGAAAGCUGAGGCUUUUCUCCAAUUGUUUCCCAAGUGCUCUCACUACACUGGAAACUCUCUGAGGAUAGAGACUGUGUCUUUUUAGGAAAUUGGGGACUCCCUCUUCUCCUGCCCUAAGCUGAGCACCCAAAGGUGGCUCUUGACCCUGUAACCUUCUCAUGCUGACUCUAAACUGGAUAUAGACAGGGGGCCUGACAGCAGGGCCCACGCUGUGUGAGUUUUGGACUCUACGUUCUGUUUGCUGCUCAUCUCUUCAGAUUCUUCUCCAAAGCUCAGGGGUGGUUCGUGAUUAAAAUCACAGAGAUUUUCCUCACUUCUGUCCUGAUACUGGUCCUUCAAUGGGAAAACAGGCUUGAUCUCUGGAGGUCACAUGUCACCCGCUUUUUCUGGGUCAUGAUACACUCCUGUGUGGAGCAGACUGACUGUGACAAUAUAUUUGAUGUUAGACUCCAGCAAAAUUGAGGCCUAAGCAACAAAGCCAGUUCAAAAGUCACUGCAGGGAGUUCCCAUCGUGGCUCAGAAGAAACUAGUCUGACUAGCAUCCAUGAGGACGCAGGUUCAAUCCCUGGCCUCACUCAGUAGGUUAAGGAUCUGGUAUUGCCGUGAGCUGUGGUGUAGGCCGCAGAUACAGCUUGGAUCCCAAGUUGCUGUGGCUGUGGCCAGCAGCUACAGCUCUAAUUGGACCCCUAGCCUGGGAACCUCCAUAUGCCAAGGGUGCAGCCCUUAAAAAAAAAAAAAAA